ensembl:miRNA predicted gene, 25041
UAUAUGUAUAUGUACAUGUUCAUAUAUGUGUGUAUGCACAUGUAUAUGUACAUGUAUUCAUUCAU